AUUGAACGCUGGCGGCAUGCUUUACACAUGCAAGUCGAACGGUAACAGGCCGCAAGGUGCUGACGAGUGGCGAACGGGUGAGUAAUGCAUCGGAACGUGCCCAGUCGUUGGGGAUAACUACUCGAAAGAGUAGCUAAUACCGCAUACGAUCUAUGGAUGAAAGCGGGGGACCGUAAGGCCUCGCGAGAUUGGAGCGGCCGCUGUCAGAUUAGGUAGUUGGUGAGGUAACGGCUCACCAAGCCAACGAUCUGUAGCUGGUCUGAGAGGAAGACCAGCCACACUGGGACUGAGACACGGCCCAGACUCCUACGGGAGGCAGCAGUGGGAAAUUUUGGACAAUGGGCGCAAGCCUGAUCCAGCAAUGCCGCGUGCAGGAAGAAGGCCUUCGGGUUGUAAACUGCUUUUGUACGGAACGAAACGGCUCUUGUUAAUACCCGGGGCUAAUGACGGUACCGUAAGAAUAAGCACCGGCUAACUACGUG
rnacentral:rRNA from 1 species